rnacentral:tRNA from 1 species
GCCGGCGUACUCAACGGCAGAGCAUCCGGCUCAUGACCGGAAGGCACCCGGAUCGACACCGGGCGUCGGCACCA